AUUGAACGCUGGCGGCAUGCCUUACACAUGCAAGUCGAACGGCAGCACGGGAGCAAUCCUGGUGGCGAGUGGCGAACGGGUGAGUAAUAUAUCGGAACGUGCCCGGUCGUGGGGAUAACGUAGCGAAAGCUACGCUAAUACCGCAUACGAUCUACGGAUGAAAGCGGGGGAUCGCAAGACCUCGCGCGAUUGGAGCGGCCGAUAUCAGAUUAGGUAGUUGGUGAGGUAAAGGCUCACCAAGCCGACGAUCUGUAGCUGGUCUGAGAGGACGACCAGCCACACUGGGACUGAGACACGGCCCAGACUCCUACGGGAGGCAGCAGUGGGAAUUUGGACAAUGGGCGCAAGCCUGAUCCAGCAAUGCCGCGUGCAGGAUGAAGGCCUCGUGUAACGUAGUACGUUUGUUACGGUAA
rnacentral:rRNA from 1 species